GAGUUUGAUCCUGGCUCAGGAUGAACGCUAGCGGCAGGCCUAACACAUGCAAGUCGAGGGGUAACGGGGAAGCUUGCUUCCGCCGACGACCGGCGCACGGGUGCGCACCGCGUAUGGAACCUACCUUUUACAGGGGAAUAGCCCAGGGAAACUUGGAUUAAUGCCCCGUAGUACCGUCUAACAGCAUUGUUUAACGGUUAAAGCCUUCGGGCGGUAGAAGAUGGCCAUGCGUCCCAUUAGUCUGUUGGUAAGGUAACGGCUUACCAAGACUACGAUGGGUAGGGGCCCUGAGAGGGGGAUCCCCCACACUGGUACUGAGACACGGACCAGACUCCUACGGGAGGCAGCAGUGAGGAAUAUUGGACAAUGGAGGAGACUCUGAUCCAGCCAUGCCGCGUGCAGGAAGAAUGCCCUAUGGGUAGUAAACUGCUUUUAUACAGGAAGAAAAAGAGCUACGUGUAGCUUACUGACGGUACUGUAAGAAUAAGGACCGGCUAACUCCGUGCCAGCAGCCGCGGUAAUACGGAGGGUCCGAGCGUUAUCCGGAAUUAUUGGGUUUAAAGGGUCCGUAGGCGGGCGAUUAAGUCAGUGGUGAAAGUCUGCAGCUCAACUGUAGAAUUGCCUUUGAUACUGGUCGUCUUGAGUUAUAGUGAAGUUGCCGGAAUAUGUAGUGUAGCGGUGAAAUGCAUAGAUAUUACAUAGAACACCGAUUGCGAANGCAGGUGACUAACUAUAUACUGACGCUGAUGGACGAAAGCGUGGGGAGCGA
rnacentral:rRNA from 1 species